AUGAACGCUGGCGGCGUGCCUAAUGCAUGCAAGUCGAGCGAACAGACGAGGAGCUUGCUCCUCUGACGUUAGCGGCGGACGGGUGAGUAACACGUGGAUAACCUACCUAUAAGACUGGGAUAACUUCGGGAAACCGGAGCUAAUACCGGAUAAUAUAUUGAACCGCAUGGUUCAAUAGUGGAAGACGGUUUUGCUGUCACUUAUAGAUGGAUCCGCGCCGCAUUAGCUAGUUGGUAAGGUAACGGCUUACCAAGGCAACGAUGCGUAGCCGACCUGAGAGGGUGAUCGGCCACACUGGAACUGAGACACGGUCCAGACUCCUACGGGAGGCAGCAGUAGGGAAUCUUCCGCAAUGGGCGAAAGCCUGACGGAGCAACGCCGCGUGAGUGAUGAAGGUCUUCGGAUCGUAAAACUCUGUUAUUAGGGAAGAACAAAUGUGUAAGUAACUAUGCACGUCUUGACGGUACCUAAUCAGAAAGCCACGGCUAACUACGUG
rnacentral:rRNA from 1 species